rnacentral:hammerhead_ribozyme from 1 species
AUCCAGCUGACGAGUUUCAAAUAAGACGAAAUGCGCAUCGCACUGGAU